rnacentral:ribozyme from 1 species
UCGUAUGACGGCAGGAUUGCUAUCCUUCGCACGGACCAGCUCACUCCAAGCUCAGGUCAAGGUACGUUCGAGCU